GUGGGGAAUAUUGGGCAAUGGAGGGAACUCUGACCCAGCAAUACCGCGUGGAUGAAGAAGGUUUUCGGAUUGUAAAGUCCUUUAAGUCGGGAAGAAGAAAGUGACAGUACCGACAGAAUAAGCAUCGGCUAACUACGUGCCAGCAGCCGCGGUAAUACGUAGGAUGCAAGCGUUGUCCGGAAUGACUGGGCGUAAAGGGUGCGUAGGCGGCGUAUCAAGUUGGUAGCGUAAUUCCAUGGCUCAACCGUGGAACUACUACCAAAACUGGUAUGCUUGAGUACGGUAGAGGUAUGUGGAAUUCCUAGUGUAGCGGUGGAAUGCGUAGAUAUUAGGAGGAACACCGGAGGCGAAAGCGACAUACUGGGCCGAAACUGACGCUGAGGCACGAAAGCGUGGGGAGCAAACAGGA
rnacentral:rRNA from 1 species